GAGCGCCGUAGCAAUACGGAGCGGCAGACGGGAGAGUAACACGUGGGAACGUGCCCUUCAGUUCGGAACAACCCAGGGAAACUUGGGCUAAUACCGGAUACGUCCGUAAGGAGAAAGAUUUAUCGCCAUAGGAUGGGCCCGCGUUGGAUUAGCUAGUUGGUAGGGUAAUGGCCUACCAAGGCAACGAUCCAUAGCUGGUCUGAGAGGAUGAUCAGCCACACUGGAACUGAGACACGGUCCAGACUCCUACGGGAGGCAGCAGUGGGGAAUAUUGCGCAAUGGGCGAAAGCUUGACGCAGCAACGCCGCGUGAGUGAUGAAGGCCUUCGGGUCGUAAAGCUCUGUCGGAGGGAACGAAUGAUCCAGGGGUUAACAGCUCCCGGAAGUGACGGUACCCUCAAAGGAAGCACCGGCUAACUCUGUG
rnacentral:rRNA from 1 species